ACGAACGCUGGCGGCAUGCCUAACACAUGCAAGUCGAACGAGACCUUCGGGUCUAGUGGCGCACGGGUGCGUAACGCGUGGGAAUCUGCCCUUGGGUUCGGAAUAACAGUUAGAAAUGACUGCUAAUACCGGAUGAUGACGUAAGUCCAAAGAUUUAUCGCCCAGGGAUGAGCCCGCGUAGGAUUAGCUAGUUGGUGGGGUAAAGGCCUACCAAGGCGACGAUCCUUAGCUGGUCUGAGAGGAUGAUCAGCCACACUGGGACUGAGACACGGCCCAGACUCCUACGGGAGGCAGCAGUAGGGAAUAUUGGACAAUGGGGGCAACCAUGAUCCAGCAAUGCCGCGUGAGUGAUGAAGGCCUUAGGGUUGUAAAGCUCUUUUACCCGAGAUGAUAAUGACAGUAUCGGGAGAAUAAGCCCCGGCUAACUCCGU
rnacentral:rRNA from 1 species